rnacentral:miRNA from 1 species
AGUCGUAUAAUCAACGUGCCGCA